rnacentral:rRNA from 1 species
UACGUAGGGGGCAAGCGUUGUCCGGAUUUAUUGGGCGUAAAGAGCGUGUAGGCGGCCAUUCAGGUCAGCUGUGAAAACUCGAGGCUCAACCUCGAGACGUCGGUUGAAACCGUUUGGCUAGAGUCCGGAAGAGGAGAGUGGAAUUCCCGGUGUAGCGGUGGAAUGCGUAGAGAUCCGGAAGAACACCGGUGGCGAAGGCGGUCUGCUGGGCAGUUGCUGACACUGAGGCGCGACAGCGUGGGGAGCAAACAGGAUUAGAUG